UGUUGCUGUGUCAAACUGAGAGAUGUAAGGGAGGAGAGAGAGACAAGGCCAGAUGUUGCUGUGUCAAACUGAGAGAUGUAAGGGAGGAGAGAGAGACAAGGCCAGAUGUUGCUGUGUCAAACCGAGAGCUGUAAGGGAGGAGAGAGAGACAAGGCCAGAUGUUGCUGUGUCAAACAGAGAUGUAAGGGAGGAGAGAGAGACAAGGCCAGAUGUUGCUGUGUCAAACUGAGAGCUGUAAGGGAGGAGAGAGAGACAAGGCCAGAUGUUGCUGUGUCAAACUGAGAGAUGUAAGGGAGGAGAGAGAGACAAGGCCAGAUGUUGCUGUGUCAAACCGAGAGCUGUAAGGGAGGAGAGAGAGACAAGGCCAGAUGUUGCUGUGUCAAACCGAGAGCUGUGUUCGAGGUCUGGGCCCGCUUCUCUGUGGUGGAUUGUUCUCUGUCUGUGUGUGUGUGUGUGUGUUCGUGUCAUUUUGUUCCAGGAUUGCAAUGACGAGGUGUGUGAGAGAUCAGAGGGCUCUCUCUCCCUACCUCCCUCACCUCCCUCUCUCUGUUUCUGUCUCUCUCCUUUUCUCAUUCAGACACACACAGAGGUGAGAUCAGGGGUUUUGAGAGAGCGACAGCGGGCCUAUAACCGCUCCUACGAAACUCCCUCCCACACGUACGUAACGUACAGACAGACACAGACCACACACACACACACACAUGUAGCAGAGCUGUGCCGUGAUCACGCUGAAAGGAUGAAUGGUUGAGUCUGAGAACCAGUUACUACCUGGAUCGGCGGCUGACA